GUGCGUCUCAUGAGCCUUGUCUCCUUUCUCCUAAAAAGACUUCCCCUUUUGUGUAAAUGCCAUGCAUGUCCUUCUUUUCUUCUUUCUUUUUGAUCUUCUGCUCAGCGCUAUUUAGAUCUAUAUCAUAUCUGUUUGAUACUGCAUCCCACUCCAUGCACCAUCACGCACCUGAUUAUCAUGCCCCUUGAAUUGACUGCUUGGUUCAUUCGAAUCUGAGUCAAAUUGAGCCAGUUUGAUUAUAUGCACCUAAUCUCCC
rnacentral:lncRNA from 1 species